GAUGAACGCUGGCGGCGUGCCUAAUACAUGCAAGUCGAGCGAACAGACGAGGAGCUUGCUCCUCUGACGUUAGCGGCGGACGGGUGAGUAACACGUGGAUAACCUACCUAUAAGACUGGGAUAACUUCGGGAAACCGGAGCUAAUACCGGAUAAUAUAUUGAAUCGCAUGGUUCAAUAGUGAAAGACGGUUUUGCUGUCACUUAUAGAUGGAUCCGCGCCGCAUUAGCUAGUUGGUAAGGUAACGGCUUACCAAGGCAACGAUGCGUAGCCGACCUGAGAGGGUGAUCGGCCACACUGGAACUGAGACACGGUCCAGACUCCUACGGGAGGCAGCAGUAGGGAAUCUUCCGCAAUGGGCGAAAGCCUGACGGAGCAACGCCGCGUGAGUGAUGAAGGUCUUCGGAUCGUAAAACCCUGUUAUUAGGGAAGAACAAAUGUGUAAGUAACUAUGCACGUCUUGACGGUACCUAAUCAGAAAGCCACGGCUAACUACGUG
rnacentral:rRNA from 1 species